AUUGAACGCUGGCGGCAUGCUUUACACAUGCAAGUCGAACGGUAACAGGCCGCAAGGUGCUGACGAGUGGCGAACGGGUGAGUAAUGCAUCGGAACGUGCCCAGUCGUGGGGGAUAACGCAGCGAAAGCUGCGCUAGUACCGCAUACGAUCUAUGGAUGAAAGCGGGGGACCGUAAGGCCUCGCGCGAUUGGAGCGGCCGAUGUCAGAUUAGGUAGUGGGUGGGGGAAAGGCUCACCAAGCCAACGAUCUGUAGCUGGUCUGAGAGGACGACCAGCCACACUGGGACUGAGACACGGCCCAGACUCCUACGGGAGGCAGCAGUGGGGAAUUUUGGACAAUGGGCGCAAGCCCGAUCCAGCAAUGCCGCGUGCAGGAAGAAGGCCUUCGGGUUGCAAACUGCUUUUGUACGGAACGAAACGGUCCUGGUUAAUACCCGGGGCUAAUGACGGUACCGUAAGAAUAAGCACCGGCUAACUACGUGCCAGCCGCCGCGGUAACAC
rnacentral:rRNA from 1 species